AAAGUACUCCCUCCGUCCCAAAAAUUUUGUCUUAGAUUUGUCUAGAUACAGAUGUAUCAAGUCACAUUUUAGUACUAGAUACAUCUGUAUCUAGACAAAUCUAAGACAAUAAUUUUGGGAUGGAGGGAGUAGUUG
rnacentral:pre_miRNA from 1 species